AUUGAACGCUGGCGGCAGGCUUAACACAUGCAAGUCGAGCGGGGUGAUGUUGCUUGCACUAUCACUUAGCGGCGGACGGGUGAGUAAUGCUUAGGAAUCUGCCUAUUAGUGGGGGACAACUUCUCGAAAGGGAUGAUAAUACCGCAUACGUCCUAAGGGGCAAAGAAGGGGAUCACUCGUGACCUGGCGCUGAUAGAUGAACCUAAGUCGGAUUAGCUAGUUGGUGGGGUAAGGGCCUACCAAGACAAAGAUCUGUAGCGGGUCUGAGAGGAUGAUCCGCCACACUGGGGCGGAGACACGACCCGGACUCCUACGGGAGGCAGCAGUGGGGAAUAUGGGAGAAUGGGGGGAACCCUGAUCCAGCCAUGCCGCGUGUGUGAAGAAGGCCUUAUGGUUGUAAAGCACUUUAAGCGAGGAGGAGGCUCUUUUGGUUAAUACCCAGAAUGAGUGGACGUUACUCGCAGAAUAAGCACCGGCUAACUCUGUGCCAGCAGCCGCCGUAA
rnacentral:rRNA from 1 species